ACGAACGCUGGCGGCGUGCUUAACACAUGCAAGUCGAACGGAAAGGCCCUGCUUUUGUGGGGUGCUCGAGUGGCGAACGGGUGAGUAACACGUGAGUAACCUGCCCUUGACUUUGGGAUAACUUCAGGAAACUGGGGCUAAUACCGGAUAGGAGCUCCUGCUGCAUGGUGGGGGUUGGAAAGUUUCGGCGGUUGGGGAUGGACUCGCGGCUUAUCAGCUUGUUGGUGGGGUAGUGGCUUACCAAGGCUUUGACGGGUAGCCGGCCUGAGAGGGUGACCGGCCACAUUGGGACUGAGAUACGGCCCAGACUCCUACGGGAGGCAGCAGUGGGGAAUAUGGCACAAUGGGCGGAAGCCUGAUGCAGCAACGCCGCGUGCGGGAUGACGGCCUUCGGGUUGUAAACCGCUUUCGCCUGUGACGAAGCGUGAGUGACGGUAAUGGGUAAAGAAGCACCGGCUAACUACGU
rnacentral:rRNA from 1 species